AGUGAACGCUGGCGGUAGGCCUAACACAUGCAAGUCGAACGGCAGCACAGUAAGAGCUUGCUCUUACGGGUGGCGAGUGGCGGACGGGUGAGGAAUACAUCGGAAUCUACUUUUUCGUGGGGGAUAACGUAGGGAAACUUACGCUAAUACCGCAUACGACCUACGGGUGAAAGCAGGGGAUCUUCGGACCUUGCGCGAUUGAAUGAGCCGAUGUCGGAUUAGCUAGUUGGCGGGGUAAAGGCCCACAAAGGCGACGAUCCGUAGCUGGUCUGAGAGGAUGAUCGGCCACACUGGAACUGAGACACGGUCCAGACUCCUACGGGAGGCAGCAGUGGGGAAUAUUGGACAAUGGGCGCAAGCCUGAUCCAGCCAUACCGCGUGGGUGAAGAAGGCCUUCGGGUUGUAAAGCCCUUUUGUUGGGAAAGAAAAGCAGCAGGUUAAUACCCCGCUGUUCUGACGGUACCCAAAGAAUAAGCACCGGCUAACUUCGUG
rnacentral:rRNA from 1 species